GUUGGUGAACCAGCGGAGGGAUCAUUACCGAGUUUCCAACUCAUAACCCACUGUGAACAUACCCAAGUUGCUUCGGCCUCUGUCUCUCGCGGGACAGUGGUCGGGGACCCCCAAAACCCAGUUAUUUCUAAUUCCUCUGAGUAACCAAAAAAUAAAUCAAAACCUUUAACAACGGAUCUCUUGGCUCUG
rnacentral:misc_RNA from 1 species